rnacentral:ncRNA from 1 species
UUUCUCCCAGAAUAGCUGGAGUUCGUUGCGGUUAUAUACGGGAAAGCGAAUGAUUAGAGGAAUUGGGGUCGAAACGACCUCAACCUAUUCUCAAUCUUUCAAUGGGUAUGUUGGCUCGGUUUCUUUAUUGAUGAUUGACAUUGUGAACUACG